rnacentral:rRNA from 1 species
CUACACGGGUAUCUAAUCCCGUUUGCUCCCCUGGCUUUCGCGCCUCAGCGUCAGUGGAGGGCCAGCGGACCGCUUUCGCCACCGGCGUUCCUUUCGAUAUCAACGCAUUUCACCGCUCCACCGGAAGUUCCGUCCGCCCCUACCUCCCUCGAGCCGCGCAGUAUCGGAGGCCCUUUUCCGGUUGGGCCGAAAGAUUUCACCCCCGACUUGCGCGGCCGCCUACGCGCCCUUUAAGCCCAGUGAUUCCGAACAACGUUCGCACGGUUCGUCUUACCGCGGCUGCUGGCAC